GCCGGGAAGAUAGCGGUGUCCUGCACCUGCAAUCCGCUUUAGCAGGGGUGAUGUUCUGCCCCGGGUGUGUACCGGUAAGGCUGCCUUUUAUAAGCGGCGUUGACGUCUGGGUCUUGCGCAAUGGGAUCUUACGAACCGUGUCAGGUCAGGAAUGGAGCAGCACUAAGUAAGACACCCCAUGUGCCGUAAGGGCGCCUGGACUGAGCUGGCUGUAGGAGUAACGCUUAUGGGUA
rnacentral:SRP_RNA from 1 species